rnacentral:piRNA from 1 species
GUGUUUAAAAAAAGGGCUAUCUUUAUCCUG